CACUGUAAAACUCAGCUGGAUUAAAGUUAGUAUUAAUUUAUUUACUUUCUUAACAGAGACGCUGCAAUUUCACUGAGCGUAGGCCUCCAUUCAAUGAACUCCGCCCCCUGCCGUUCAGAUACAAAGAAGCUUUUUUUUUCUUUUCUUUCAGGAACCUGAUCAUCUCCUCCUCCCCCCAGACCCAGGAUCCCAACACCCCACAUUGAAGUGACAUCCUUCUUCUAUCACAGCCCUCCCAGAUGUCAGCCAUGAUGGAUGACGCUGUCAAUGUGGGUCUGGCUAAGAUUAGCAUACACUUGGCAUGUGUUGGACCACUUACUAUAAAUUCCUGAUGUUCUUGCUGUUGAAGCAUUCAUCAUCAGCCCUGCAAAUACAUGAAGCAUGGCUGGCAUCAGGGACUCUCCGUCAUUUCCCUGCAGAAGACAUCGACCCAAAGGAAUCUCGGAGUUGGAGAAACGUGUUUGAUAAAUUAUCUGUUUGCUGCUUUUUCGAUUGUCUCUUUUUACAAAUACUGAUUGCCUUGAUUUUCAUAAUAGCAGAGGUGAAACUAAAGGUUGAGACAUGUUCAGCAAACACAUGAAGCAGCUGAAAGUAGGCCAUUAGUUUACUAUUUAAAAGUCAUUUUAAGACAAUCCUUCACUCACAAGCAAUGCUCAUAUCAUUAUUCAAAUGUGCUGAGCUUGUGUGGGUAGGCUUUCCAACAUCUGUAAAAAACAAUGCAAUGUAAAUGGCUACAGUAUACUUUACUGGAAUAAUGAACAGUUUAAGUCUCUGUGUGUAUAUUUUAAAUUGUAUCAGAGCAGUAGGAAAAUCCUUACAUCUUAUAUUUUUUUGUUUCAUGUAUAUCUACAGAAAUAUAGAUCUAAAUUUGGUUACCACACCUUAUAUACAGACGUGCUCAAAUUUGUUGGUACCCUUACAGCUCAUUGAAAUAAUACUUCAUUCCUGCUGAAAAGUGAUGAAAUUUAAAGCUAUUUUAUCAUGUAUACUUGCAUGCCUUUGGUAUGUCAUAGAAUAAAGCAAAGAAGCUGUGAAAAGAGAUGAAUUAUUGCUUAUUCUACAAAGAUAUUCUAAAAUGGCCUGGACACAUUUGUUGGUACCCCUUAGAAAAGAUAAUAAAUAAUUGGAUUAUAGUGAUAUUUCAAACUAAUUAGUUUCUUUAAUUAGUAUCACACAUGUCUCCAAUCUUGUAAUCAGUCAUUCAGCCUAUUUAAAUGGAGAAAAGUAGUCACUGUGCUGUUUGGUAUCAUUGUGUGCACCACACUGAACGUGGACCAGAGAAAGCAAAGG